GCCCGGGUGUUGAAAUUGGUAGACAUUGCGCCUUGAGGUGGCGUAGCCUGUAAUGGGCGUGGAGGUUCGAGUCCUCUCCCGGGCACAA
rnacentral:tRNA from 1 species